GACGAACGCUGGCGGCGUGCUUAACACAUGCAAGUCGAACGGUGAAGGUGGAGCUUGCUCCGCCGGAUCAGUGGCGAACGGGUGAGUAACACGUGGGCAACCUGCCCCUGACUUCGGGAUAACUCCUCGAAAGAGGUGCUAAUACCGGAUACGAAUCCUGCAGGCAUCUGCGGGAUUGGAAAGUUUUUCGGUCAGGGAUGGGCCCGCGGCCUAUCAGCUUGUUGGUGAGGUAGUGGCUCACCAAGGCGACGACGGGUAGCCGGCCUGAGAGGGCGACCGGCCACACUGGGACUGAGACACGGCCCAGACUCCUACGGGAGGCAGCAGUGGGGAAUAUUGCGCAAUGGGCGAAAGCCUGACGCAGCAACGCCGCGUGAGGGAUGACGGCCUUCGGGUUGUAAACCUCUUUCAGCGGGGAAGAAGCGAAAGUGACGGUACCUGCAGAAGAAGCACCGGCUAACUACGUGCCAGCAGCCGCGGUAA
rnacentral:rRNA from 1 species